UACAGAGGGUGCAAGCGUUGUUCGGAAUUACUGGGCGUAAAGCGCGUGUAGGCGGUUUGAUAAGUCAGACGUGAAAUCCCUCAGCUUAACUGAGGAAUUGCAUCUGAUACUGUCAGACUUGAGUAUCGGAGGGGAUGGUGGAAUUCCUGGUGUAGAGGUGAAAUUCGUAGAUAUCGGGAGGAACACCGGUGGCGAAGGCGACCCGCUGGCCAGCGACUGACGCUGAGGCGCGAAAGCGUGGGGAGCAAACAGG
rnacentral:rRNA from 1 species